UACAGGUACUGGAGGUCCGAACCCACUAUUUGAAAAAUUAGGGGAUGAGCUGUGGAUAGGGGUGAAAGGCUAAACAAAUCCGGAAAUAGCUGGUUCUCCCCGAAAACUAUUUAGGUAGUGCGUCAUGUAUCACUUGCGGGGGUAAAGCACUGUUAUGGCUAGGGGGUCAUCGCGACUUACCAAACCAUGGCAAACUCUGAAUACCGCAAAGUGCGAGCAUGGCAGACAGACAGUGGGUGCUAACGUCCAUUGUCAAGAGGGAAACAACCCAGACCGCCAGCUAAGGUCCCCAAGACACAGUUAAGUGGGAAACGAAGUGGGAAGGCAUAGACAGCUAGGAGGUUGGCUUAGAAGCAGCCAUCCUUUAAAGAAAGCGUAAUAGCUCACUAGUCGAGUCGUCCUGCGCGGAAGAUGUAACGGGGCUCAAACUGUGCACCGAAGCUGCGGAUAUCGAAAGAUAUGGUAGGGGAGCGUUCUGUAGGUCUGUGAAGGUGUCUUGUAAAGGAUGCUGGAGAUAUCAGAAGUGCGAAUGCUGACAUGAGUAGCGAUAAAGGGCGUGAAAAGCGCCCUCGCCGAAAGCCCAAGGUUUCCUACGCAACGUUCAUCGGCGUAGGGUGAGUCGGCUCCUAAGGCGAGGCAGAAAUGCGUAGUCGAUGGGAAACAGGUCAAUAUUCCUGUACCGAUUCUAGAUGCGAUGUGGGGACGGAGAAGGUUAGGUCAGCCGGGUGUUGGACGUCCCGGUUUAAGCGUGUAGGCGUGCCCCUUAGGCAAAUCCGGGGGCUGAGCUGAGGCGUGAUGACGAGGAACCACGGUUCCGAAGUGAUUGAUACCAAGCUUCCAGGAAAAGCCACUAAGCUUCAGUCUAGAGUUGACCGUACCGCAAACCGACACAGGUGGGCAGGAUGAAAAUUCUAAGGCGCUUGAGAGAACUCAGGAGAAGGAACUCGGCAAAUUAACACCGUAACUUCGGGAGAAGGUGUGCCCCGGUAGCGCGUAGAGACUUGCUCUCGAAGCGCGAUGGGGUUGCAGUGAAAUGGUGGCUGCGACUGUUUAAUAAAAACACAGCACUCUGCAAACACGAAAGUGGACGUAUAGGGUGUGACGCCUGCCCGGUGCCGGAAGGUUAAGUGAUGGGGUGCAAGCUCUUGAUCGAAGCCCCGGUAAACGGCAGCCGUAACAAUAACGAUCCUAAGGUAGCGAAAUUCCUUGUCGGGUAAGUUCCGACCUGCACGAAUGGCGUAACGAUGGCCACACUGUCUCCUCCUGGGACUCAGCGAAGUUGAAAUGUUUGUGAAGAUGCAAUCUACCCGCGGCUAGACGGAAAGACCCCAUGAACCUUUACUGUAGCUUUGCAUUGGACUUUGAACCGA
rnacentral:rRNA from 1 species